UACGAAGGGGGCUAGCGUUGCUCGGAAUCACUGGGCGUAAAGGGUGCGUAGGCGGGUCUUUAAGUCAGGGGUGAAAUCCUGGAGCUCAACUCCAGAACUGCCUUUGAUACUGAAGAUCUUGAGUCCGGGAGAGGUGAGUGGAACUGCGAGUGUAGAGGUGAAAUUCGUAGAUAUUCGCAAGAACACCAGUGGCGAAGGCGGCUCACUGGCCCGAUAUUGACGCUGAGGCACGAAAGCGUGGGGAGCAAACAGG
rnacentral:rRNA from 1 species